AUUGUGACUCGUUUGAGCUCUCAGCCCGGCCUGUAUCCUGGCGGGAGCCAUCCCCGACUGGCUCGGCAGCUCCAGGCUAUUCCGAGGAACAGUCUUCAGAGAGCCUGGGUGCUGAGGGGGAAAGUUGUUGCUGAGAUUUGACAAGUUUGGUCCUGAGAUGUCAGAAAGAAUUUCAGCUCUUCUGCCACCCCAAGGAUGGUGGCAAGUAAAUCACAGUGAGCUGGCUUUUGUCAGGUCGACUGUGGAAUUUGAUGCUAGCUCAUAGCUACCUCCUCUUCCUUGCCUGCCUCUCUCGCUCUCUCAGCUCUAGUUUGAGAUCAGCACAGAUUCCCUGGGUGAUUUUUGAGAAAACUGCCUCCUCUUUAGGACUUGGCAUCCCGAACCUCCAUCAGGAAAGGGUGGCGACAUAUACUCUCACACCCAGGGAGACUGCAAGGCCUACCCUCCACUCUCCACCUGGGUUCUCUGGCAUCGAGACUUGUGCCCUACAGUUUUGGGCCCUUGAGGUGAUGUCCCAGUGGGACCAGGGUGAGGGUGCAGGUAUCUGAGAGCAUAGUAGGACCAGAACCUCUAACCUUAGGGAGGCUUCCUGGGAGCCAAGCUUGGUGACUUAGAAUGUGAAUGUCUGACUCAUAUCCCACUACCUUUUAGUGGGUGCUGCAGAGGACAAUGGAGAGGGAUUCAACUCUGAAGAGUGGUCUUGUGGAAGAGGUAGCUGGCUUGUUCAGUGUGUCUCUGGCAGCCUCCCUAAGGUUCCCAGGUAGAAGUUUCUGGCAGGUAGAUUUCAGCUGUGUUUAAGGAAGAACUUUGAAGUUGUCAGAAUGAGCUGUCUUGUGAUAGUGAGCUCCCUGUCUGCAGAGGCAUGCAAGCAGGGCACUUUCACUUAUGCAUUCAAGCUGACCUACGCAAGGCACUGUGCUAAGUGCUGGGUGCAGAGGAGAACGAGACCCAGUGGGGAAACAGGCACUUGCAAUGCUGCUGUGAGUAUGAGCAGAGAAGGACAUGUUGCAGAAGAAAUGCAAGUACAGUGAAGAAUAAGACUGGGGAACUUUUACAAUUCAGAGUGGCCUUCACUGUGGGUGAUCUGAAUUGAUCCCUGUAUACAGGUGCUUCUGGGGUGACACUUUCCCUGCUCCAUGGAGCUCCAGGAGGAGCGCGGACCACCCCCUUCUUUGUAGGCCCGUCUGUGGGGUGCCGCUCCUCCUCCCACCUCCCCACUGCACAGGCAGCCCAUCAGUGUCCAUGAGCUGCUCCAGAAGGAUGCAGAUCUGAGGAGGCUCGGGGAGCGGCGUAUCCUAGCAACCUCUGAGGCUGGCAUCUGCAGGACUAGGCCCAGACUCAAGGCUCUUUCUAAUUCACCAGCCUUCCCUUAAUGAUAAGCUUUCCCACACAGAUGUGGGGGUGGGGAGGAAGAGGGGAGAAGUGGGCAGGAAGUGUUGCCUCCAACCCCAUCACAGAGCAGGUCAAGCCUCGCCCACAGCACUGCCAGGGAUGGGGGAAGGAGGGAGGGCAAAGGGAGUCCCUUAACUGCAUAUGCCACUUGUCCAUCACCAUGGCCAGUUUAUCACCGUUUAGAGGACAAUGAAUCCAGGCAGUGAUCAUCAAUGAUAACUAACAUCAUAAAAAGAUAGAUGGCUGGACAUGAUGUUCCUUCUGAUGAAAGACCACAACACCUACUGAAAAAUCAAACCUGAAUCAGAUCAAGCCUCUAGAGAAGGCAGCACCCAGGGUCAUUCCUGGAGCAUAAACAAUCCCUGCAGAACAUGGGCUAGAAGACCCCACAGAUCCUGGACUGGGAUCCCAGCAGUGAGAAGACCCGGACAUCAACCCUAUUUCAUUCUGUGGCCUCUGCAAAUCUCCAAACUUGUGGAGCUGUAGUUGCAAGCUCAGACUUGUGGUUUCCUGUACCUGGAGGAGGCCCAGGUCAUUCUGUUAAGUCCCUUGUCUAUUUCCUGUUUUUAUCUGGAUGCUGAGUUAACUAUUUGAUCCAACAAUAAAACUAGCAAGGUUUU